rnacentral:lncRNA from 1 species
GGUGCGCGGGCCGCCUGGGGCCGCUCGCUUAGUCGGAGUCACCCGGGGUACUGCCUCGCGGGGCAGAGCCCACCUCGGGUGCCUUGCUGUGCCCAGCGCUCGGGAAGGGUGUGAUUUCCGCUCGGCCGCGGGAGGGGCUGCCCUCCAGGCAGGUGCGCCCGGGAGUCACUUCUGCUCCUGGUCUGAGGUUCGCCUCUGGAAUCCCCGAACACACAAAUUGUACCCAGGACAGGCGUGCUCACCCACUCUCUUACGAACACACCCACACAGAGAAACUCCAGUAAGAGGCGCUAGAGAAGAGCUGGAUUUUAAUAGAAUCUGAUCAGAGAAGAAAGCAAAAGCAGAGGAAUGUUGAAGUGAAAUGUAAAUAACAGAUAACCAAAUUAUAAGGCUACAGUACCUUUUGCUGUGAACCUUCGAAAAGGAUUCAGAAAUUCUUGUGUUUUAAACUUGCAUUUUUAUCUGAUUUGCACACUAUGUUGCCUUGAAGCACUAAUCAUUUAUUUUCAUAUCUACAGUUAAGUCUUCCUCAGAGUAAUCUUUAUUUAACCACAUAUACAUUCCUAUGUGGGAAAUUCCAAUAUGCAAAAAUUCAGGAUAUUACUAGGAGACUAAAUAUAGUAUAAGUGUUAGAGCAGAAAUAAUAUUUUAAUGAAGAAUAUUAAAGAACAUUGAUGGCACCAAGACUCUUUGAUGCAUAUUAAAAAAAUUAACAUCUUCAUAAAGGUCGACUCCCAUGAAAUAUCUUCUGCUACUAUUUCUAGGCUAUUGAUAUCUAUUGCUUUUUAGAAAUAUUUACCAAAUUAGUAUAAGGAAACUGGCAGAUAGAAAAUCUAAACUAAAGCUCAGAAUUUAUUUCCUCUUUUAGCAAAUAGAUAUGUUGCCAAGGCAAUCAGUAGCAAUUUUAUCAUUAGGCACAUAUAAUGAAACCGGAUCUGGAUUAGAAAGAGAAGCUAUGAGCAUGUAGGUGCUAUAAACAACUCUCUGAUGGGGACUUUAGCAGCUGUGAGGGCUAAGGUAUUUAUCUCUAAUUCAGAUGUUCAUUUUGCCUGCAAUUUUGGAUACAUUGUGAGUGUGUGAAACCUAUUCUUUUAAAAAUCCCCCAAAUACGGUGUGGGAGGUAGAAAUCAGAUGGGCAGCUCCGAGGGCUGGCAAUGAGCAAUUUGCUCAUAGUCACGGGAAGGCUUCAAAACAGUCCCUUUAAUCAUGACUCAUGGGCAUGUAGGAGCAUGGUCUGUCAGUUAAAGCGAUUACCUUCUGGAUGGAUGACCACAGCUGCUACCUUAAUGGUUGUCAGAUCUUUCACCUGAUGUCUACAGAAGCUGAAGGGAGGGAACGUGGCUGAGUCUUGUCACACAUUCUUGGCUUUAUUAGAGACCAUGGUCCACACUUGUCUCUGCUAUAGAACCGAGCACUGAGAUAGCUACUAGGUGCUCAAGAGGUAGUGGAUUGAGUGUAACCUCUCACCUAUAGGUAUUCAAUUAAUUCAUUUGCCUGAGUGGGCCCAGGUGUGGCCAAGCAAAAGGAACCAUUCUGAAGGAGGUCACCUGGCUUGAAAUAAAAUGCCAAAGUGACUUGAGUGCCUAUGGGAGCACAAUGUUUAGUGAUUUCUAAGUUUGUGAAGGUAUCAGAGAAAUUCAGAGGGAUGGAUUUUUAUAACUUUGUAGAGAAUCUUGUAUCUCAGUAUCAUGCAUUGUUAAAAAAUAUUGCACUAUGUUUUUUGAAUUGUUUGGGUAUUAUCUGAAUGUAAGCUAUUGAUUGAUAUACCUG